CGGGACGGGUGAGUAAUGUCUGGGAAACUGCCUGAUGGAGGGGGAUAACUACUGAAAACGGUAGCUAAUACCGCAUAACGUCGCAAGACCAAAGAGGGGGACCUUCGGGCCUCUUGCCAUCGGAUGUGCCCAGAUGGGAUUAGCUAGUAGGUGGGGUAACGGCUCACCUAGGCGACGAUCCCUAGCUGGUCUGAGAGGAUGACCAGCCACACUGGAACUGAGACACGGUCCAG
rnacentral:rRNA from 1 species